rnacentral:rRNA from 1 species
AUUGAACGCUGGCGGCAGGCCUAACACAUGCAAGUCGAACGAGUGGCGGACGGGUGAGUAAUGACUGGGAAACUGCCUGAUGGAGGGGGUUAACUACUGGAAACGGUAGCUAAUACCGCAUAACAUAAGAUGUGCCCAGAUGGGAUUAGCUUGUUGGUGGGGUAAAGGCUGACAAAGGCGACUAUCCCUAGCGGGUCUGAGAGGAUGACCAGCCACACUGGAACGGAGACAAGGCCCAGACUCCUACGGGAGGCAGCAGUGGGGAAUAUUGCACAAUGGGCGAAAGCCUGAUGCAGCCAUGCCGCGUGUAUGAAGAAGGUCUUCGGGUUGUAAAGUACUUUCAGUGGGGAGGCGUUACCCGCAGAAGAAGCACCGGCUAACUCCGUGCCAGCAGCCGCGGUAAUUC